rnacentral:rRNA from 1 species
AUUGAACGCUGGCGGCAUGCCUUACACAUGCAAGUCGAACGGUAACGGGCCUUCGGGUGCCGACGAGUGGCGAACGGGUGAGUAAUACAUCGGAACGUGCCCGAUCGUGGGGGAUAACGAGGCGAAAGCUUUGCUAAUACCGCAUACGAUCUACGGAUGACAGCAGGGGACCGCAAGGCCUUGCGCGGACGGAGCGGCCGAUGGCAGAUUAGGUAGUUGGUGGGAUAAAAGCUUACCAAGCCGACGAUCUGUAGCUGGUCUGAGAGGAUGAUCAGCCACACUGGGACUGAGACACGGCCCAGACUCCUACGGGAGGCAGCAGUGGGGAAUUUUGGACAAUGGGCGCAAGCCUGAUCCAGCCAUGCCGCGUGCAGGAUGAAGGCCUUCGGGUUGUAAACUGCUUUUGUACGGAACGAAAAGCCUUCUUUUAAUACAGGAGGGUCAUGACGGUACCGUAAGAAUAAGCACCGGCUAACUACGUG